ensembl:lncRNA
AGAGAGGCUAUAUACAGUAGUGAGACUAUAUACAGUAGAGAGGAUAUAUACAGUAGAGAGGCUAUAUACAGUAGUGAGGUUAUAUACAGUAGAGAGGAUAUAUACAGUAGAGAGGCUAUAUACAGUAGAGAGGCUAUAUACAGUAGUGAGGCUAUAUACAGUAGAGAGGAUAUAUACAGUAGUGAGACUAUAUACAGUAGUGAGGCUAUAUACAGUAGUGAGGCUAUAUACAGUAGAGAGGCUAUAUACAGUAGAGAGGCUAUAUACAGUAGAGAGGCUUUAUACAGUAGAGAGGCUAUAUACAGUAGCGAGGCUAUAUACAGUAGAGAGACUAUAUACAGUAGCGAGGCUAUAUAUGGGUAUUAUUUGACAUUACAUUAUAACUACAUAAUAAUAACCAUUUUAUUGAUCUUAUAAUUUCCCCCAUCUUGGCCUGAUCUAGUGAUACUCAUUUCUACAGUAUUUUUCUGACAAUUUGCCAUUUAGAAUGGAUAAUUUCUCCCCUCAUUUCACUCUCUCAGCUUUUGAUACAUGGGAGAGAUGCUGUUAUAGAAACCUCCCUGAU